UUGAUGCCUUGGGGAGAACAAAGUCUUUUAUUUGUCCCCAGGCGUGCUAUGCCCAUACCCUAUAACCACGCGUCUUCCCUCUGACCUGAAAGGACCACCUUUAAGGGUGAGAAAGUAGUUUCGUUUCCAGGCCCUUUUAAACGUGCCCUUUC
ensembl:misc_RNA